UACGAAGGGGGCUAGCGUUGUUCGGAUUUACUGGGCGUAAAGGGCGCGUAGGCGGCGUGGUAAGUCACUUGUGAAAUCUCUGAGCUUAACUCAGAACGGCCAAGUGAUACUGCUGUGCUAGAGUGCAGAGGGGGCAAUCGGAAUUCUUGGUGUAGCGGUGAAAUGCGUAGAUAUCAAGAGGAACACCUGUGGUGAAGGCAGCUCGCUGGGACGGUACUGACGCUGAGACGCGAAAGCGUGGGGAGCAAACAGG
rnacentral:rRNA from 1 species